rnacentral:tRNA from 1 species
AGAGACUUAGGCUAACUACUAGACCAAGGGCCUUCAAAGCCCUAAGCGGAAGUGAGAAUCUUUCAGUCCCUG